rnacentral:rRNA from 1 species
GUGGGGAAUAUUGGACAAUGGGCGAAAGCCUGAUCCAGCCAUGCCGCGUGUGUGAAGAAGGUCUUCGGAUUGUAAAGCACUUUAAGUUGAGAGGAAGGGCAGUAAGUUAAUACCUUGCUGUUUUGACGUUACCAACAGAAUAAGCACCGGCUAACUUCGUGCCAGCAGCCGCGGUAAUACGAAGGGUGCAAGCGUUAAUCGGAAUUACUGGGCGUAAAGCGCGCGUAGGUGGUUUUGUAAGUUGGAGGUGAAAUCCCCGGGCUCAACCUGGGAACUGCCUCCAAAACUGCAUGACUAGAGUACGGUAGAGGGUAGUGGAAUUUCCUGUGUAGCGGUGAAAUGCGUAGAUAUAGGAAGGAACACCAGUGGCGAAGGCGACUACCUGGACUGAUACUGACACUGAGGUGCGAAAGCGUGGGGAGCAAACAGGAUUAGAAACCCCGGUAGUCC